AUUGCUUCUUGGCCUUUUGGCUAAGAUCAAAUGUAGUACCAGUGAUUUUAACUAUAUUUUUCUUUGAAAUUAAUAAUAUUCAAGUUUACAGGCAUUCCUUGUUUAACAACCAAGUUACAUUCCUGAGACCAA
rnacentral:snRNA from 1 species